rnacentral:piRNA from 1 species
GAGGGUAUGGGAAGGGAAAGGGGAG